UACGUAGGAGGCGAGCGUGGUCUGGAAUUACUGGGUGUAAAGCGCGCGUAGGUGGCAGGCCAAGUCUGUGGUGAAAGCGCCCGGCUCAACUGGGCAUGGUCCAUGGAAACUGGUCAGCUGGAGGACGGUAGAGGCGAGUGGAAUUCCCGGUGUAGUGGUGAAAUGCGUAGAGAUCGGGAGGAACACCAGUGGCGAAGGCGGCUCGCUGGGCCGGUCCUGACACUGAGGCGCGAAGGCGUGGGGAGCGAACGGG
rnacentral:rRNA from 1 species